CCGGCGACCGGCGCACGGGUGAGUAACACGUAUGCAACCUGGCCGUCACAGGGGGAUAACCGGUAGAAAUGCCGCCUAAUACCCCAUGACACCCUUUAGGGACAUCCCUGGGGGGUCAAAGGGAGCGAUCCCGGUGGUGGAUGGGCAUGCGGCGCAUUAGCUAGUCGGCGGGGUAACGGCCCACCGAGGCGACGAUGCGUAGGGGUUCUGAGAGGAAGGUCCCCCACAUUGGAACUGAGACACGGUCCAAACUCCUACGGGAGGCAGCAG
rnacentral:rRNA from 1 species